AAGCGCUUGCCGCCAGACGUGCCCGUGGUGGUUCUCCUCCGCGGGCAGGCCAGCAUCAGUUUGGGCGAUCGGAUAAAGGCCUCUGUCAUGUAUCUCCCUUCGGGGUGACCUUAUAGGGGAGGCGUAAUGCGAUCAGCCCGGACUGAGGUCCGCGCAUCUGCUAGGAUGCUGGCGUAAUGGCUGUAAGCGG
rnacentral:rRNA from 1 species